rnacentral:rRNA from 1 species
UACGUAGGGGGCAAGCGUUGUCCGGAUUUAUUGGGCGUAAAGAGCUCGUAGGUGGUUUGGUAAGUCGGAUGUGAAAUCUCCAGGCUCAACCUGGAGGGGUCAUUCGAUACUGCCAUGACUAGAGGUCGGUAGGGGAGUGUGGAAUUCCAGGUGUAGCGGUGAAAUGCGUAGAUAUCUGGAGGAACACCGGUGGCGAAGGCGGCAUCCUGGACCAACACUGACGCUGAGGAGCGAAAGCCAGGGGAGCAAACGGG